rnacentral:rRNA from 1 species
UACGUAGGGUGCAAGCGUUAAUCGGAAUUACUGGGCGUAAAGCGCACGUAGGCGGUUUCUUAAGUCGGGGGUGAAAUCCUGGAGCUCAACUCCAGAACUGCCUUCGAUACUGGGAAACUUGAGUUCGGGAGAGGUGAGUGGAACUGCGAGUGUAGAGGUGAAAUUCGUAGAUAUUCGCAAGAACACCAGUGGCGAAGGCGGCUCACUGGCCCGAUACUGACGCUGAUGCACGAAAGCGUGGGGAGCAAACAGG